rnacentral:rRNA from 1 species
UACGUAGGGUGCAAGCGUUGUCCGGAAUUAUUGGGCGUAAAGAGCUCGUAGGCGGUUUGUCGCGUCUGCUGUGAAAACUCGGGGCUUAACCCCGGGCCUGCAGUGGGUACGGGCAGACUAGAGUGCGGUAGGGGAGACUGGAAUUCCUGGUGUAGCGGUGAAAUGCGCAGAUAUCAGGAGGAACACCGGUGGCGAAGGCGGGUCUCUGGGCCGUAACUGACGCUGAGGCGCGAGAGCGUGGGGAGCGAACAGG